rnacentral:lncRNA from 1 species
CAAUACAGUUUGAAAAAAGCUGGUGUAUGUAUAUAAUUGUGCUACCUGUAAGCCUGAGUUUGUAUAGCUCCUCUUACUUUGGUAAUUUUUUUCCUCUUUCCCAUUCCUCCAACAUCACCCCCUGACCCCUCAAUUAGGGGAAUAAAUUCUCUGCUCUCUCAUUUCCAUUUGUGUAUUCCACUUGAAGGGAAUAUUAAUGCUAGUUUACAUUUUAAAAUAUGAUAGUAUUUACUUGAACUCCUUAUUU